rnacentral:rRNA from 1 species
UACCAGCACCUCGAGUGGUCAGGACGUUUAUUGGGCCUAAAGCAUCCGUAGCCGGCUUUGCAAGUCUUCGGUUAAAUCCACCUGCUCAACAGAUGGGCCGCUGGAGAUACUACAAAGCUAGGGAGUGGGAGAGGCAGACGGUAUUCAGUGGGUAGGGGUAAAAUCCUCUGAUCCAUUGAGGACCACCAGUGGCGAAGGCGGUCCGCCAGAACACGUUCGACGGUGAGGGAUGAAAGCUGGGGGAGCAAACCGG